UACGUAGGGGGCAAGCGUUGUCCGGAUUCAUUGGGCGUAAAGAGCGUGUAGGCGGCCAGGUAGGUCGGUUGUGAAAACUGGAGGCUCAACCUUCAGAGGUCGACCGAAACCAUCUGGCUAGAGUCCGGGAGAGGAGAGUGGAAUUCCUGGUGUAGCGGUGAAAUGCGCAGAUAUCAGGAAGAACACCCGUGGCGAAAGCGGCUCUCUGGAACGGUACUGACGCUGAGGCGCGAAAGCGUGGGGAGCAAACGGG
rnacentral:rRNA from 1 species